GACGAACGCUGGCGGCGUGCUUAACACAUGCAAGUCGAACGGAAAGGCCCUGCUUUUGUGGGGUGCUCGAGUGGCGAACGGGUGAGUAACACGUGAGUAACCUGCCCUUGACUUUGGGAUAACUUUAGGAAACUGGGGUUAAUACCGGAUAGGAGCUCCUGCUGCAUGGUGGGGGUUGGAAAGUUUCGGCGGUUGGGGAUGGACUCGCGGCUUAUCAGCUUGUUGGUGGGGUAGUGGCUUACCAAGGCUUUGACGGGUAGCCGGCCUGGGAGGGUGACCGGCCUCAUUAGGACUGAGAUACGGCGCAGUCUCCUACGGGAGGCAACGGUGGGGAAUAUUGCACAAUGGGCGGAAGCCUGAUGCAGCAACGCCGCGUGCGGGAUGACGGCCUUCGGGUUGUGAACCACUUUCGCCUGUGACGAGGCGUGAGUGACGGUAAUGGAUAAAGAAGCACCGGCUAACUACGUG
rnacentral:rRNA from 1 species